CGGAGGGGGCGUAGCGUUGUUCGGAAUUAACUGGGCGUAAAGACGCACGUAGGCGGAUCAGUCAGUCAGGGGUGGAAAUCCCGGGGCGUCAACCCCGGAACCUGCCUUUGAUACUGCUGGUCUUGAGGUCGAGAGAGGUGAGUGGAAUUCCGAGUGUAGAGGUGAAAUUCGUAGAUAUUCGGAGGAACACCAGUGGCGAAGGCGGCUCACUGGCUCGAUACUGACGCUGAGGUGCGAAAGCGUGGGGAGCAAACAGGAUU
rnacentral:rRNA from 1 species